GCAGUAAGCCUAGUGGUUAAGGGCUAUGGAUCGCCAAUCCGGAGACGACGGGUUCGAUUCCCGUUGCG
rnacentral:tRNA from 1 species